rnacentral:rRNA from 1 species
GACAGAGGGUGCAAACGUUGUUCGGAAUUACUGGGCGUAAAGCGUGUGUAGGCGGCUUUGCAAGUCGGAUGUGAAAGCCCCGGGCUCAACCCGGGAAGUGCACUCGAUACUGCGGAGCUUGAGUGUCGGAGAGGUUGGUGGAAUUCUCGGUGUAGAGGUGAAAUUCGUAGAUAUCGAGAGGAACACCGGUGGCGAAGGCGGCCAACUGGACGAACACUGACGCUGAGGAGCGAAAGCGUGGGGAGCGAACAGG